AGUUUCUGGUCCAUGAACAUCAAAGCUCUAAUGGAAUUAACAUCAUGGAUGACUUAGAAAGAACCAAUUUCACGUGUGCGGAUGAAGAAAGACAAUACUGGAAAAGUCUGGCUAUGAAAUACAGGAAAUGGUAAGUUAUCUUUUGAAUUAAGAGUUCUCUCUGUGUAACGUGUAAAGCUUUUUGAUUUAAAGGGACACACUAAACACCAAGCAUCAACACUUCCUUUAAGUAAAAUUUAUUUUAUUUUUACUGAAAAGUGUUGUUUAAUUGCAUCGUGUGUGUGUGUGUGUGUGUGUGUGUGUGUGUGUGUGUGUAUAUAGUGUAAUAAAUACUUAAAGGUAUACUAUAGGCAUCAAAACAACUUUAGCUUAAUGAAGCAGUUUAGAUGUAAAAAUUCUGCCUCUGCAGUCUCACUGUUCAGUCUAUUUAGCCCUAGCCACACCUGCCAUGACUGUGACUAGCACAGCUUGCAGGGAAAAUUGGUUUGAUUUUUCAAUCAGAUGUUAACUUGCUUUAGAAGUUUUAUCUGCUGCUUUUGUGAAUUGCACUCUAAACACAUAGUGGAGCCUCCUGCUGUUUCUAGAAGACUAAGGUGCAGAAGAUAAGAAGUUAUUGAUUAAACAGUCAGUGCAAUAAAUGAACUUAAAAUAUCCAGGUUCCUCUUUAGAGGUAUAUUAUGUCCCUUGCCAUGUGAAUGUGUGUAUGGAUAUUCUGAAGAGUGGAUGGAGGUGCAUUGGGCAAGGGGCAACCAAAAUAGGGAGAAUACCCAUGUUUUGAUUGACCUUUAAAACCAGGUUGUUUAUAUUUGCCUCAGUUUAAGCGAUAUCAAGUUUACCAAUGUAAGUCUACCAGUAUUUACAAAAUAUGUGAAAGCUAUGAUUUUAUGUGUAUUACGUGUUUGAUACCAUAUAUAAGAAAAAAAAUGAAAAAAUAUCCAGGUUCCUUUUCAGGACAUGUUUACAAAGGCUUUACAAGUCACAUGCAGUGAAGUGUGACUAUGGAAAAGUAAUUUAACUUCUAAAAUGGCAAAGAAUUGAGCAGUGAGACUGCAGGGGAAUGAUUUAUACACCAAAACAGCUUCAUUAAGCUAAAAGUUGUUUUGGAACCUAUAGUGUCCGAGGUUACUCCAAGGACCAUGACCUCUUCAGUGAUUUGAAGUUGUCGUGGUGCCUGGAGUCUGUCUGUGCAGAGUUUCACCUUACAAUGUAGCACAUUCGCCUCCCUGCUGCCGUAUGUGUAACUUUACCUCCGGCAGCAUCAUAAUGGUGUCAUCAGCCUGCAUAGAACUAAAGUUCCGGACUUGCUAAUGUCAGACAUAAGACAGUCAUUGGCUGAGAGCAGUCAGCUGACACCCAUAGCCAAUGAAUGUCGACUGCCCCAGCUCCUGCAGCUCAGCUGAAGCCAGAAGCACACCACUGAACACCGCAGAGCAUCGGAACCCAGCAGGGAGCACACGUGCUAUAAACGUUUGCCUCAUUACAGGCUGACUUUGUCAGGGUAACCCCUGGCAUCAUAACCAUUACAGCGGCCUUUAGUGGCGGUGAAACCCUUUAAAUAACUUAAAGAAUACUGACUUUUUUUUUUUUUUUAAACCAGCAAUCACUUUUACAACCAAUAUAAAACCCAAAAUAAAGCAAGAAAAUUGGUAAAAGUAUAUUAAAAUAUAUAUAUUUAUGUAUAAACUUGAUCAGAAUGGCAUAUUUGGGCAUGCCUUCUCAGUUAGGGGUGUUUCUUCAGCCUCCCCCGCCCUUCUUACAAACCUAUUUGUUUCAGACCAGACCACUAAUGACAAGGAGGGAUCACUGUGCAGCAGUAGGAGAGAAAAACCCAACAUCAGAGCAUGCUCUGCAUGAUCUCUUCUCCCCAUCAGGAUAUUCCAUGGUGAAAGGAUCUUCCAACUGCACAUGUGUAAAUCUGUCAGUCAUACCCAAUGCGCUUUUCCAGCAUUCCUAGUUUUAUGAAUACUGCACAGGUGUUUUUUUAUUUAUUUUUUUGUGUUAAACUGUUUUCAAUCACAGGCAGACACGUUUCUGAGGAGCUCCGUACAAGCGACCGAUAAAAUAGACUAAAAACCCGACAAACUGUGCCCAACAGCGGCCACACACAGACGUCAAUGGGGCCCAAAAUUAAAAAAUUUCCCUCUCCCAGAGACACCCAGAAUGUCAGUUAUUCUGCUCUAGUUUGUGAGGCCUAAUCCACCGGCUCCUGUCAGAAUGGUGCCCGAGGCACCCAGUGAAGAAAAGGACUCCCAUGGGGAUGGGGGAGAGUCUUACCUAGUCUCCAGCAGACACAGAGACCCGUUACCAGGUCUCCGAAUCGGGGGAGGACUCUUCCCCAGUGACUAAGCUGGAUAUUCAAAACCUCUCGGCAGAAAUGGGGGAAGUGUGGAAGGCUGACCUACUGAGCACUCAGAAAGAAGUGGGGAACUUCCAACAGCGGCUAACAGCAGUGUAGACGAGGUAAGGUGCAAGGGAGCACCAACUACAGCACUCCCAAGACUCUAUGCAGGCUCUUACCUUGCCAAGUACAAAAGCUCACACGGACUGUCACAACAAUGGAAGCAUGGCACAGACGGCGGAAUGUCCGCCUCCGAGGGAUACCAUAAAGUAUUGGAGGGGAGGCCCUGCUUCCCUACAUCCACCGCCUAUUAUCCGUAAUGGGCAUCAAAGGGGAAGCUGAGCCAAGCAUGAUACUUUCCGCGUUCAGAAUCCGUAAAGCUGCAACAGCUCCCGAGGACGCACCCAGAGACACUACAUCUAUCACAAAAGAUGUGGCAACCCGCUCCGCUAUCAUGUCCCGCUCCAGAGACUCUGGCACAGUGCAAAUGGAGGGUAGCACAGUGGCCCUCUAUGGGGAUCUCCUGCUCGCAGCACUUGUGGAACAGCGACAGCUGACACAAAUAGCCAAACGACUGAGGGACGUUGGAAUCAGAUACCGGUGGGGUGCGAAUGGAUCCCUGGCGGUACCACAGGAAGACCAGACACUUAUCUUGUCCUCCACAGAUGACCAAAAGUGUAUUAUUAUUUUUUUUUAUUAUAUUUUUUUUUCUCUCUCUCUGGCAGCUGAACCUGCAAGAUAGACACAGGGGAAUCCAGGGAUGAAAGCAAUCACAUACAGCGUCAGCCCAAAAGCACCCAAUUACCGGAGAAAGGCUUACAUGUGCCAACUUUGCCAAAGAGACACUCUUGGGCUAUGCCACAAUGUGCCACACUCUCUCUGGGUCUCCCGCAGACGUCAAGCUCACUACAACAGCUGACCUUCCUGAUUCAACAAUGUUGCUGCACAUAUAUGAACAGUUCCUGUAGAUUGUUUCUACUGCCGUUUGCACAUAGUCUUUAUACACAACUAUCUGACACAGCCAUUUUGGCAGCUUCUUAAAGUUGUUUAAUGUUGAUGUCACAUUGUUCUUAAUUGCAUACUGUGGCAAUGCUGUUUUUUUGAGUAUUUAAACUCUAAUAAAAUACAAAUUGAAAAAAAAUGCACUUUAAAGCGAUCUGUACUGAUAUGUAUAUGUUACGAAAUAAUGCAUGCAGAGGUUAUACCUGUAAUUUUUAAAUUUUUACACUUUUUUUUUUUUUUUUUUCCGUUUCCUAGCUCUGAGGAUGCACAGGAAGAGCUGCAAGAAUUUCAGGAGGCCAGUCGUGAAUAUGAAGCGGAGUUAGAAGCCCAGCUUCAACAAACAGAAGGCAGAAACAGAGACAUCAUCUCCGAAAAUAACCGAUUGCGAAUGGAGCUAGAGUCCAUUAAGGUAAGCAAGUUACUUUGGAGGGAUUUAUUAAAGUCUUGUGAUAUUUUUUUUUUUUUUUAAUUCUUUAUUUUCCGGUUGACAGAGAUAGUAAGUGUACAGAUGUUGGACAGAAGGUAAUGUGUGGGCUUGUGCAAAAGCCAAAAGAUAAACAGUGUAGUAAUGCAUUGUGAUACAGAGAGGUAUAUACCAGUAGAGUAGUGUACUGCUAACGCAACAUUAUUUUCUCAUACGAUUCUGUUCUGUCGAUUUUCCAUACAUUUAAACAAUUCAAAACAUAACCAAACAAAUAUUAACAAGUUUGAACCUAAGAUUGAGUUUCUUUGGUAUGGUACGUGGAUUCGGAACUGCAAGUUAAGGGGCGAGAGUGGGUUAAGUUCAGUUCCGGGAUGGAGUGUGGAAUGGGGAAUCCACGAUGUGGGGUUUCUGCUGGGGUUGUGGGGGGGUUGGGUGGGGGUGAGAAGGUGUCCCUGAUUUGUGGGUUGUGUGGUUUUUCGGAGUUGCGUAUUACAUUGUGGACCUGUCUCGGACACUGACGUUUUGGCCCUUAUGGAUUGUGUGUUUAUGCGUGAUUCCUGUCGUGGUUGGUUGCCCCUUUUUUGUUUUUGGGUGUCUUAUGUGGCUGUGGUGGGUUCCAUGAGCCACAGAUCCCAUAUUUUGUCACAAUGCAUUGUGGUGUCAUGAAUGAGUGCAGAUAAACUGUCCAUUGCCCUGGCUUCGUUAAUUCUUUUCUUUAUGUCAGUGAGUGACGGGACUGUGGGUGAGCCCCAAUGGGAGGCUAUGGCUCUCCUUGUUGCCAAGGCUAGUUUGGCUAGUAGUUUGUUAUGAGCCCGUGGUGUACCGACCAGCGGUUUGGAUAGCAACCAUAACCACGGGUCUCUUGGGAUGGUGUCAUGAAGGACUCUGGAGGCCAGGGCCGCUAUGUCGGUCCAGAUUUGUGCAAUGUGGGGGCAUUCCCACCACAUGUGGUAGUACGUUCCCUUUUGGCCGCACCCCUUCCAGCAUCUAUCUGAGGUGGAUAGUCCCAUUUGCUUAUGUUUUAGCGGAGUAUGGUACCAGCGCAUCAGGGGUCUUGUGAUAUUUUUAUGUCUAAUUUUACAUCCUAGUUUAUUAAAUGUGUAUGGGUUUUUUUUUUUUUUGUUAAUCCAAACUAUCAAUGGCAAUAUAUUCACAUUUGUUUCCAGGAAUUAUGUUUUUUUUUUUUUUGUCUUUGUACAUUUGUUACUGUAAAUUUGGUUGUAUGAUGUCAGAACAACUAAGCUUAAUGUAGUUGUUUUGGUGUCUGUAGACCGUCCCUGCGGGUAUUUUUGCUGUAAAUACUGUCUUUUAAGAGAAAAGGCACCUAAGCACACCUCCAGUGGCAGUCACUAAGACACUCAAGGUGCUUCCUGGCUUGUGUAGCACUGACGUUCAGUGUUUCCACACUCCUCAUGGAGAUGCUGAAUAUUCCUCAUGGAGAUACAUUAAUUCAAUGCAUAUCUAUGAGGAGAUGCUGAUUGGCCAGAGCGGCAUAUGGCUCACCACCAGGCUCUGUCUCCUUACCUGAGAUCAUCAGAAUUGGCAAUGUCAGCCAAUCCGAUGGCUAUGGGAAAGCAUUGGAUUAACUGAGCUCAUCAAUUCUGAUGAUCUCAGCCAAAGAGGCUGGGCUGGGGACCCGCGCAAUGCUGAAAUAAUAUAUAUAUUUUUUUAUUUUAAGGGAGGUUGGUGGCCUAAAUAGUGUGGUUAUUUUAUUUUUGAGCUGGGGUGGGGGCAGUAUACACAGUCCCCACACCCUUGCCCUGUUACGAUUUACUUUCUGUAAUCCCCUUUUCCAAAUUUGACAGAAUUUUUGUUUUUUUUGUUUUUGAGAUAUAUUUGAGGUAUAAAUGAACAAUGUCUAGAACUAUAAAACAUGAUUUGUCUGACCACAUAUUUUGCUACGGCUAGGAAUAGACCGAUUAUCAGCAUUGUAAUUUACCAAUAUUACUGAUAACUUGCUUACCUCUCCCAUUCACCACAUGCUGUCUUCAGCAUCUGGAAACUCUAGUCUCCAGCCAGUGAUGUGCCAUGUUUUGACCUUAUUUAGCCUCUUUCAGUGAGUUCCCGCAUGGGGAGCUCAGCUGAAGGCAGGCAGGUGAGACAAUGAAUCCUCCACUGUAAUGUACUGGGCUGGCUGACGGUGAUUGGAGUGUAAUUGCUGUCGGCAUGUUCAGUCAGUGCCAGAUUUGUCUAAAGAUUUUAACUUUUUUCAAAACUUUCAAUGUGCAGAAUAUCGGCAAUCUGCCUGAAAGGUGACCAAUAAUUCGUAUCGGCAUCUGCUCUAGAAAAAUUAUAUUGUUAUGUCCCUAAUCUGGGCUUGUACAAUAUGACUAAAAAUGUCCAUGUGGGAACCAAAUGAGACACAUUUGCAACUCUUCAUUCUGCCAUUUACAAAUUGUUUUACGGUGCACAUAAAACCCAAUAUAAAAAAUAUAUACUUUUUCUUGUGUGCUAUAUCUUUAAGAUUAACUCCUGUUUUUACAUCUGUACAAUUAUGCAAAUUGUUAGACUGUGGAUCAAUUCAUGAUCACACCAGCUGGCUGUCAGUAGCAGCUGUCGGUGAACAAUGGCAUGACAUAGCUGUGCUAGACUCUUCUUGGCCUUAUUAUAAUCCCCAUUAGUGAGAACUUAAAACCUUGAGCCUGUUAAAUGUAUUUACCCAAAGCUGUCAUCCUUCUGACAUUUAAUGCGCGACGUUUGCACAACUUUGAAUUUUGCGGGAUUUAUUUGUAUUGUAAAAUAACCACUUUAGCUGUUUACUCACAAAUAUAAAUGUGGUGCUGUGUAUUUCUUUCUUUUGUAAUUCAAAAGCAUCAGUGAUAUAAAACUAAAAUCUAACAAUUAAUUUAUUUGUAUUAAAUUUUUAUUUUCUUAUAGAGUCCAAUAUUGGAUAGAACAUUGCAUGUUUUCUCUUCACUUGUUUGUUUUUAGAUGCAUGUAAAUUUUGCAAUAGUCGUUCCUGUUUCAAAACUAUUUUUAGAAGAAGUAACUUCUGCUUAUUUUACACCACCUUUUCCAUAGCCAACAGCUUAAGUUCACAAAAUCACAACAUGCUAAUUUAUGUGUAUCAGUUCUAUGGUCUUUGAAUAUUUUUUUGCAAAGACCCCGGAUGAUAACGUCACUGCUUGCUGUACGGUGGCCCGAGUGUGCAGUGGAAGGUAGGUUUUAUUUACUUGAUGCUGUCUCUCGCGGUAGCUGCCGCCUCCAUCCAGGGAAUUCUCAUCUGCCAGGAGCCCACGUCAGUGCUGUACUCUUAACACAUCCAACCCUCCAUAGCCAUCACUGUUGGUUAAGGAGGAUCGCAUGUGUGAGCGUACAGCACAGAUCCUUGGACACUCUGGUAGCCUCUACAAACAAUGCCUUUUUCCUCACAGCCAAGUUUUUUGAAGUGUAGGAAGAAUGCAUAAGACAAAAUAGUCCCCACUUGUUGUAACGGAUCACCUGGCACCCCGACUGGGUACCUCCGUUAAAGGAUGCUCCUAGCGCUUCCUGAGGACUCCAAGCACUGCAGCAGACACCACAACCACCGAACCGGAGAAGCAUAUGAAUCCUCUCAAGCAUAUGAAUGCUGUAGACAGUUGAAUAGGAACCAUACGAAUAGGUUUACUCUCCUAGCAGUCAAACUGGAACAGCAUACAAUAAAUCCUUCCCCCAAUAAUGAGACGACACUUCACUUUGAGGGUUAAACAGGAACUCCCUGUACUGUCACAUACAGUCUCUUUUAUUCCCAAUCCACAAACAUAGUACAGCCCACAGGGCGUUACAAAACAACCAAUCACAUCACAGUUACAUCCCACAUAUUCCCUCCCCUUAUCCUGAGAGGAAACUCAAUUAUACAUACAGUUAAAACAUACUUUCUACCCAACUUUCAUAACUCCAAAACCAUACAUCACAUUCACAUAAAAUUACAUAUUCACAAUCAAUCCAUUCAGGGGAACAACAUAUUCAAAAAUGGCACAAAUCAGACAAGGGGUUCAAAAGUUAGUAAAAAGUCCUUUGUGACUAAAUGAAGCAUGGCUUUCUGGCCCAAACCAGUUUCAGAGUCUUCUAUCCUGGAGAUAAGUAAUUCAAUUAUCUCCCAGGACAGACACAAGACUCCAUUAAGCACAUGGUUGCAAAAGACACAAAACACUUUAAAAUACAUAAAGUCACAUUUACACAUAACACACAGACAUUUCACAUAUCCCCAGAUAGCUGGGAUCUGAGUGCACAUUAUUAGAUGAAUGGCCCUCAGAUCACACAAAUAAGCCUUUCUGCAGGGGAAAUAAACAGUUUAACCUGCAGGGCCAUAGUCCAAAGGGAGCAGGUGAGCAACCAGGCUUCUCCAGUUCAGUGGCGAGGUUGGUUUCGCCACACUUGUGUUCUAUUACUUUUGUAAUUUUCUGUCUAAAAUUCCUUCACUUCUGUCAAAUUCCAACACCGUCAAUAGUAUGUCAUAAAGCUUUUAUAAAAUGCCUAAUACCUUAUGUUGGGGCAUGUUGACAGUCACUUUAAGGGACUAGCAUGUUAUAUUACUGUAUUUUAUCCAACAUCGUACUCUAUUGUCCAUAUCUUCUAAUACAUAGAACUGGGAGCCAAAAUGGCCGAUCCAGCUGUGUAACAUAUCCCUCUUCCACAAAACAUUCCUUGGGUCAGUUUAACUGUAGGGGGAAAAAAAAAACCAGAAGAACCUAUUAACAAGAACCAAAAUGGGCCGAUGGAUACCAAGUUACUGCUGCCGGCCUGGUAUGACAUAGUCCUAAAGUAAGGACCUCUGGGUCUGAAAUCAUUGGGCUUUAGCUCCUCCUGUGGUGCAGUUCCUCAUGUUGAUGUUGUUCAUGCUAAUAAAUCGGCAUUGACUUGUGUAUAAUGCUGGAGCUUGGUGUCUUUGUGGUAAUUAGCCCAGUGGCUUCUUCAUAUUCAAAUAGCUUUAACAAUCGUGUGUUUUAAGCAAUACAUACUCCAGUAGCUGGAGUCAUGACUUCACACUGUCUGAAAUAACAGGCGAGCCAAAAGAGAGUCCUUACAUUUAUCAUAUAAGAAAUAGGAAAAAUGUUCAAAUGUUGCUUUUCUCCUAACAAAUCACCUUGGUUUAUGAAUGUGUACCUUGUACUUUUCCUCUUUUGACAAUGUGUGUGCUGAGCAAAGAUCUAACUUGAGAAAACUGAUAUUUUCUUUUUUCCAAUUGAUUUUUUUUCCCCCUCAGAAUAUUGUAAAUUAGCAGUCAGAUUUUAAUGAACAAAAAAAAAAAUAAUAUGCGGUCUGAAAUAAUACAGAUAUCUCAAGGCAAACUUUGUUUCCCUUUCUGGACAGGAAAAGUAUGAAGAGCAUCAUUCUGAAAACUACAUGCAGAUUUCAACUUUGGAAACAGAACUCUCUCAAACAAAGUCUGUUCUCGAACAGCUGCAGAAAUACAUUCGUGAACUGGAGCAAGCCAAUGAUGACUUGGAAAGGGCAAAAAGGUAAAUAUCUGUCAUGUCAUUCAGCUAAGGUACAGGUAGGCAUGUAAUAAAACAAAUCCUGAAGGUAAAAACUGAAAUAGUCUGUUCUCUUAUAUUGCACUGUAACAAGGCAUACACUGGGGUAUUGUUUUAUUCAAAAGAGUUUGAUGAGCAUAAUUUGGAGGUUUAGAUCUUCGUGGAACAUAUCCUAUUUGCAAAAUGCCCAGCAUAAAUUUAAUGUCUUCAAAAUGCAAAAAAUCUUUUACAACAAACUUUGACAUAAACUGGUGGUAGAAUGGCAGCAAAUUAAAGCACACUAUACACCAUAUGGGAUACCCUGGAGUGUCUAAUUUCACAAAUGGAAGGCAUUCCUUAACUGGAAAGAUUUUUCUGGUGGCUGUUACAUCAGCAAAAUGAACUUGGAAAAACAAAUUCCAUUGCAUCAAUGUCACUCACACUCUAAAAGUAUAUUUAAAAAAAAAAAAGUGUAAUUUUCAUUGUUCCAAUAGGUUGUUUUGUGCUUUAUCGUGGUCAUAAGAAAGGUCUCAUGGCAUCAAAGUGUUCAUUGGCUAGAUGGAUUAAAGAAGCUAUUGUUCUUGCAUACAGGUCAUCCAGUGUUGUUCCUCCUCUUUAAACUAAAUUCGAAUUAAUUUUCAAUUAAAAGCUAAUUCCACAAGGGUUAUUGCUACCCCCUAAACAUUUAAGGCUUCAGCUGCUCCUUCUCAGAUUUACAAAGCAGCUACCUGGUCACCCAUUCAAACUUUCUCCAAACAGUAGGAGGAGUUUUAGGAGGGACUUAACUUUUUAAAUUCUAUGGUGCCUGCCUGCCUUUCUUGUGAAGACAUGGUGGAUCUCUCUAUUGUUGUGCACUGUCUCUAAUCCUAAGGAAAAAAUCACUUUAUGGCAAGUAAAAUUUGAUCUUUCUUCAGAUUCACUAAUUUAAGGCUGCAAACUUCAGCCGUCAGUUCAUUUUACACUAGGAAUUUGGCUUGUGAGCACCAAUUUUAUUAGAGCCCAUAUUCAGCAGUGUAUCUGUAUCGGCCUUAUAAUUUACCGAUAACUUACUCGCCUCUCCCAGCCACCGCACGCUGACUUAUGCAUCUGUGAACUCUAACCGCCACACAAUGAAAUGCCUAGAGCUCCGUUAAAAGCAGGGAGGUGAGACGGUAAAUAAUCUUCUUCUUUAAUGUUCUGGGCUGGCUGACAGAGAUGAGAGCUAUCGGCAAUCACACUCUUAUCAGUAACAUUGUACAUGCUGGAUUCUCAGUGAUCCCAACAUGUACUGACUGCCUGGAAGUGAUCAGAGUGUGAUUGCUGUCCGCAUGUUCAGUAAAUGCCAGAUUUAAAUGGAAAUUCUUUUACUUUUUCCAAACUUUAAAUGUACAGAAUAUCGGCACCAGUUAUCGGCUCGAAAGAAGACGUUAAAGGCAUCGGCUCUGGAAGAAUAUUAGUCGAUCCCGACUUCUAAGCAACUUAUUGCAGAGUUUGUUAGAAAUUUUUCUAAACAUCAGACCAUCCAUUUGUUCUGUUGUGCAUCCUUUGGACCUAAACUUCUAUCUGGCUUUAUUAGGCUUUUGCAUCACAAGAUUUGUAACUACAUUUCUACCCAGACAAGGUUUUUUUUUGUUUUUUUUUUCCUUUGUUCAGACCUAAAAUAAUCAGUUCUGCCACUUUGAACUUGGACAAUUUGUUGCCAGCUUUCCAGGUAUUACUGUAGAAUAAUAAAAGUCCUUCUGAUGACGCUAAAAGGCUACAUGUGUUAUUUGUCCAGGGCUAAGCCUUUCACAAAUCUGUUUGUACUUUACCAAGAUACUUCCAAAGGGAAACAAGCUUCUAAAUCCUAAUUAGCCCACUGGAUUUGUGAAAUAAUUUUUAAUUUCAUCAGAGCUCCACAAGACUUACUCCUGGGCCUCUGAAGCUUCAGAGUAACAGAUUUGUAAAGCGUCAAUAUGGCCUUCUUCUCUAGAGAUGUAACGUUCUGGAUGUUUUGAAGCCAUGGAACCCCCAAAGAAUGGAAAAACUGAAGAGACCAUCAACCUUUAUUUUUUGUGGGGGUGGUUUUACCAUUCGUACCUUUUUGUUUUUUUGUUUUUUUUAUCAAGCCUUUUUAAAAUGGGUGUGUUUUGAGGAGAGGAUUUUAAUUAAUAUAAAUAUAAAAAAGUCGUGCUACCUGUCCAGGAGUAAGCAAGCCCAUAGGUUCUAAUUACCUGUAUACAGAGGGCAGGGAGAGAAAAAAUUUCUACCUUUGACAGGUUUGCUAAUCCUAUAAAACAGGAUAUUUUAUAAUCUGUAAAAUGUAGGAACUGUUUUAUUUUUUUUAUUUUUUUUUUUGUGAAAUGCAAGUCCUGUAAUAAUAAUAAUUAAUAAUAAUGCCUGUACUAACAUCUGAGAUUUCUUUUCUAAAAAAAAAAUCUUUAUUUGGUUUCUCUUUCAAACAGUCAAGUUUAUUUAUUUAUUUUUAACAAUGAAUGUUUUAAUAAACAGAGUUACAAAUCUAAAAAAAAAUAUUUUUUUUUGUAGUGAUAAUUAAGCUUAUUUAAAGAUCAUUUUUAAGCUCUUUAUGGUCAAAACCAAAGUUAAUAAGCCACCUAUAUGGACAGUGAAGUGGAAGUAUGGACUUAGAAGGGAGACAAAUGAAGCCUGACUGUGCAGAUCCGUUACUGGAUGUUGGAAUGGUUGUCCGCUUUGGCAAUUACCCAACUUGGUAAUUAAAAUGGAAAAAAAAUUUAUUCGACCUGAAAUAACUAUAUAUAUAUAUAUAUAUAUAUAUAUAUAUAUAUAUAUAUAUAUAUAUAUAUAUAUAUAUAUAUAUAUAACUUCCACAAGAAAAGGCUGCUCUCCGGACUUAAAAUCAAAGAUUUUAUUGAAAAUAUUUAAAAAUGAUGACCAACGUUUCGGUCCCCGAUCGGGACCUUCCUCAGGGUCAGAGACAACAGGACAACAAUAAACAGUAUACAAAGUGACAAUAUAUACCAUUACAUUAAGUGAAAUGACUCACCCAGGUGUUCUAUUCUCAUUUCCCGCCGGCACCCAGUGAAUUUCCGGGUAUGCGCGCGCACGUCAAUACGUGCUCCGCCCCUUCAUCAUACUAUGUUACGUGCCGACGUACUCCCGGUCACAUAGACCGGUCUCCUUAGCAACCAUAUAUACAAAGACCCCUCUUACAACAAAAGGAGUCUAUACCAAGAUAGAGAAUAGGGAAGAAAAAAUUAAUGCCAUACAUAAGUAAUAUAAGUGCUUAUUUUAAAACAAAUCUUGUGAUGGGCUCAUUGUGUAUCAUAUAUCCCUAACCACAAGAACACCUAGUGAACCUAGGUAAGUGACACUUCAUUAAAGUGAUAAUAAAGCCACUAAAAUUUGACCCAUCAGUGUAUGAGCCCUAGUUAUAGUUAAAUGUGAAAUUGCACUCAUCAGUGAAUCAAAAAAAAUUCAUAUAUAAAAUUUUUAAAGUGAUAGCAUGCAUAUAAUAAAGUGCAUUAUAAGUGCUCAUAAGCAACAUAUGUGUAAUCAAAUAUAUCAUACAUAUAAAAACACUUUGGCAUAAUUAUAGACACACUGCUCCUGAGAAAUGUUUAUUGCUUAUUACUGUUUAUUGUUGUCCUGUUGUCUCUGACCCUGAGGAAGGUCCCGAUCGGGGACCGAAACGUUGGUCAUCAUUUUUAAAUAUUUUCAAUAAAAUCUUUGAUUUUAAGUCCGGAGAGCAGCCUUUUCUUGUGGAAGUUAUACCUAUUGGAGCUUUGGUGGUGCGCCCGGCAUUUGGAAUACUUCAAGCGUGAGUGCAGGGGAUGUUGAUAGUUUUUUUGUAUUUCUAGGAGUGUGGGGCUCUACCUCCUCCCUUUUGUGCACCUGCAUAUAGUGCAACUGUGUUGGCACGUUAAUUAUAUUGAGCAUUUUUUAGCUCCUACAAUAUUUGACAAUUAUAUUACUGUUCAUUGGUCUAAUCUCCUCUUGUUUUGUGAUAUGGAGGAAUUUUUAGUACAAGCUGGUGCUUUUGUAGAACAUGCAGAAACACUGCAAUUUACACCUGAAGAUGCAUCUCACAUUCUAUGGGAGCAAUCCAGUCAAGAGUUACCUAAUUUAACUACGUCUAGAGAUGUCUAUUUCAAGUUAUUAAGAUUGCAUAAAAAAAGUGUGGACUUGGACUUACAUGGUUUAUUUCUAUCCGACUAUUAUAAGGCUAAAAUGAUUCCACGUGGGUUUAGAUUACUAAAUAUACCAACUAUUGGAAGACUUAAAGCAGCUGUAUGUAGGGAUUGGACACACGUUUUAAACAAAGCUUCUUUGGACCUUAUGCUUAUAACGAUUAAAGAUGUAAAAACUGAUUUAACAGAGGUUAAACAGAAAAUUAUUGCGUUGGAGACUGAACAAGCAGUUCUAUUGGCUUCAGCUGAUGGAGUGAAAUUGCAACAACAACUAAAAGUGGAACUUCUGAAAUAUAAAAAUGAAUUAGUGAGAUUUAAAAAACAGAAGUAUGAGAGGGUUCAACAAGAUUACCAAGACCACCGUGUAUAUAGAUGGUUAUCGGGUGAACGCCCUCCCAGACCAAGGAGGUUCCGCAAAAGAAUUAUCCGACCAAAGGUUACAACUAUUGAUAUAACCUCUGGGGAAUCAGCUUCAGAGAAUGAAAUCCCCAAUGAUACAGCAACUUUUUUAGGUCAUACGGAACAAGGCACAGUCACCAGGAGCAAAGUCAGGAGCGACGAAGAUAUAGGAAUAGGAGAGGGCGCAAGGGUAAAAACAGUAUUAAGGGGCAAACCCCCUCAACGGAAAUAACCCCCAUCUUUAACCUUUCCCAUAGACAACUCAGUGAAACAGAAGUUAACAUUCUUAGUAAGGGUCUAUCAUAUGUCCCUACAAGUUUUAUUAACCCCUUUAAAUGGAGUACUGAGUUGUUUCAAUUUGGAAGAAAUAUGAGGCUUAAAGAGUUUUUUCACACUAUGGAUAAAGACAAACCACAAUCAACUUGUAUGGGGUUAGAGAAAUUUAAGAAUAAAUCUACAUUUGACCCACAAACUACCAAAUCUUCAAUUAAAACUUUUUUGACAACAAUGUCCAAGAUGACACAGAAUACUGGUGUCCAGCAACGUGAAAGAUCACAAAAUAUAACUAAGAAAGAACGACAAUUGAUUGAUAACCUAGCUAAGGACCCUUCUAUAGUGAUCCGCUCAGCGGAUAAGGGAGGAGGUAUCGUACUUAUGAACUAUACUGAUUAUGCAGAUGACCUUAAACAACAAUUACAGGAUUUGAACACCUAUUGUAUGUUACCAAGGGAUCCUACACUCGAAAUUCAGAGGAAAAUCAGUGAUGUAUUAGAGAUGGGACUUAGGGCUGGUUAUAUCAGUCUUGAUCUAUUUCAGUUUUUGAAUAAACAACAUCCCCGCACUCCAAUUAUCUAUAGUAUACCCAAGAUUCAUAAAGAUCCAGAAAGACCUCCUGGCCGUCCCAUUGUUUCAGCUAUUGGGGGGAUUUUAGAACCCAUAGCACAAUGGUUAGAUUUUGUUUUUAAAGGACCAGUUGAGGCACUGAGUACAUGUAUUAAGGAUACACAAAUGCUCUUGAGUAGAAUUAAGUCCUUGGAGUUCCAUGGAAGGGUUCCAAUAUUCAUUACUAUGGAUGUCAAGAGCCUGUACACAGUCAUCCCUCAUAUUGGAGGUAUUGAGGCGAUGCGACAGGUGUUAUGUGAGUCUUCGAUGUACCAUGGUCCACCGAUAGAAUUUAUUCUGGAGCUUUUGUCGUUGAUCCUUCAUAACAAUCAUUUUAGAUUUGAGGAUCGGUGGUACUUACAAGUGGCGGGAACAUCUAUGGGGUCAGCCAUGGCCCCUAUGUAUGCCAAUGCGUACAUGUAUGCAUAUGAAACACAGCAUAUAUUGACCACAUAUAAGAAUAACAUUAUUGGAUAUUAUCGUUAUAUAGACGACCUGUUGAUCAUCUGGCGAGGCUCACAAACGGAGGCACAUAUGAUGGUGGAGGAGUUAAAUUUGUUGCCAACUCCUAUCAAGUUUACAGCCAAUAUCAGUGAGGAAAGUGUCCAAUACCUGGACUUAGAACUUUCCUAUGGAGACAAUAGAGUCCAAUACACAUUAUUUUCGAAACAGACUGAUCGGAAUACUCUUUUACACGCUAGGAGUGCACAUCACAUUUCGUUGAAAAAAUCUAUUCCUAAAGCACAAUUCCAGCGAGUCAUUCGCAACAAUUCUGAUAUAAAUAAGGCUGAGUUACAAUUGAAAAUCAUGACCCAGAAGUUUUUGAACAGAGGUUAUAACAUUCAGGUACUAGAAGAAGCACUGUUGAAGGCAAAAUUGGCCCCGGUGCAAAAGAUGGAUCCUGUACAGAAAAUUGUAUUUCCGAUGACGUUUCAUAAUUCUUCUAAUUUGAUUUCAACAAUUGUUAAAGACAAUUGGAAAAUGAUUGCUACGGAUGACACCCUGCCAAAGAUUUUUAAAGAGACUCCGUUAAUUUGCUACAGGAGAAAUAAGAGUCUUAAGGACAUGUUAGUACGUACAGACCCUGUGGAAAGUUAUUCUAAAACAGUCAAGCACAACAUACGGGGAAGCAUACGAUGUCUGGGGUGUAUUACUUGUGGACAUAUGAUUCCAGCAAAGAAAUUUAAUCACCCACAUACUAAUAAAAUAUAUGAUAUAAGACACACUAUUACUUGUAAAACCCCCUUUGUUGUAUAUAAAUUGGUGUGUCCGUGUGGCCUCUAUUACGUAGGAAAGACAGAAACACCUCUGUGUGAGAGGAUUAGGGGCCACCGCUCGAGUAUAAGAUUAGCGUACAGGGAUGGCCAGUCUGAUAAGCCAGUUGCUCGGCACUUUCUUGAUAAAAAACAUCCCUUAGCAUCCCUUAAAUUUGUGGGUAUUGAUCAUAUACCCCUUCCCCGCAGGGGGGUAAUAGGGGGAAGAUGUUGCUUCAGAAAGAGGCUUUUUGGAUACACCAAUUAAAUACAAUAUCUCCCAUGGGUCUUAAUGAGAGCAUCACGUAUCAUUCUUUUAUAUAGGUUUAACCAGCUUGUUACUAUUGUUUUUAAAUAUUUUUAUGUUUAAUGAAUUUCUCAGGAGCAGUGUGUCUAUAAUUAUGCCAAAGUGUUUUUAUAUGUAUGAUAUAUUUGAUUACACAUAUGUUGCUUAUGAGCACUUAUAAUGCACUUUAUUAUAUGCAUGCUAUCACUUUAAAAAUUUUAUAUAUGAAUUUUUUUUGAUUCACUGAUGAGUGCAAUUUCACAUUUAACUAUAACUAGGGCUCAUACACUGAUGGGUCAAAUUUUAGUGGCUUUAUUAUCACUUUAAUGAAGUGUCACUUACCUAGGUUCACUAGGUGUUCUUGUGGUUAGGGAUAUAUGAUACACAAUGAGCCCAUCACAAGAUUUGUUUUAAAAUAAGCACUUAUAUUACUUAUGUAUGGCAUUAAUUUUUUCUUCCCUAUUCUCUAUCUUGGUAUAGACUCCUUUUGUUGUAAGAGGGGUCUUUGUAUAUAUGGUUGCUAAGGAGACCGGUCUAUGUGACCGGGAGUACGUCGGCACGUAACAUAGUAUGAUGAAGGGGCGGAGCACGUAUUGACGUGCGCGCGCAUACCCGGAAAUUCACUGGGUGCCGGCGGGAAAUGAGAAUAGAACACCUGGGUGAGUCAUUUCACUUAAUGUAAUGGUAUAUAUUGUCACUUUGUAUACUGUUUAUUGUUGUCCUGUUGUCUCUGACCCUGAGGAAGGUCCCGAUCGGGGACCGAAAUGUUGGUCAUCAUUUUUAAAUAUUUUCAAUAAAAUCUUUGAUUUUAAGUCCGGAGAGCAGCCUUUUCUUGUGGAAGUUAUACCUAUUGGAGCUUUGGUGGUGCGCCCGGCAUUUGGAAUACUUCAAGCGUGAGUGCAGGGGAUGUUGAUAUUCUUUUUAUAUAUAUAUAUAUAUAUAUAUAUAUAUAUAUAUAUAUAUAUAUAUAUAAAAUGUGUGUGUUCAUGUUUUUGCCCUGCUUAAGUGCAUUAUGCUGCUUUUACGACAUCUCAGAUUUGAGGGUGUGUGAUACUUUUGAACAGUGCCUUCUUCAUUUCAGUGUAUCUUGUGAUAUAUUACUAGGCAAUUGUUUACUAUAUCUCUGAGAGUAAAAUUAUUGUUUUUAAUUCUAUGCCUCUGCUUUCACUAGAGCCACAAUAAUGUCAUUGGAGGAUUUUGAGCAGCGGAUGAAUCAGGCUAUUGAGAGGAAUGCAUUCCUUGAAAGCGAGCUUGAUGAAAAGGAAAAUCUUUUGGAAUCUGUGCAGAGGCUGAAGGAUGAAGCUCGGGGUGAGACAUUACAUAAUCUGCCCACUUCAUUUCUACUUUUUCCUUCCUGUUCUCAGAAAUAUCACAGGGUUAAAAGAACAUUCCAAUUACCACUUUAGCUUGCUAUAGUAAUUCUGGGGCCUUGGCACCCCUCUUCCCUCCUAGUGUAAAUGGUCAACCCGUUUUUGAAUGGUUUGACUUUUACUGGGGGUUUAUCGGACGCAGCUCCUCACCUCUGCUACAGACAUUAACUUUAUUUAGCUCUCCUGAGUUAAGCUUUGCAGUGCCAUGUGUUGCAGGGCUUAGCUCAACAGAGCUAACUGAAGUUCCUGCUUAGGAUCUCUUGACUCUCCGACAUUCAUGAUGGAGACAGUGUGGUGUCUGGCGUACGCUAGGUAAGUCAAACUGUUUUAAAAAUAAUUUUGACUACUUAAGUUGGAUUUGUUGUACUUUGGACCUCCUUAUUGCAUAAGUGCUUUACAUGGUUUGUGGCACAAAUCUUUUCGUCAAAGACUCUGUGAAUAGUCAUUGACACGUGCUUCAUUAAGUUCGUGUGAAAAUGGUCUAUACAUGCUUAAAAAUAACUUACUAUGGCUGGGCAAAGUGCAAUUUCACUUUGUCAAAAAUGACCUUUAAGUAAGUAAACACAUAAAUUUGAAUGUAGUUAAGAGGUCACUCUAUGCAGUGAUGCAAAGUUAUGGGGUGCAGAGUGUCUAACAACCGCCUAAUCACUGCAGCUAUAAGCCUUCCUCCUGGAUAAAGUAAAAAUGUCAUGGGAGCAGUCUCACUGAGCUCCUCUGCUGCACACAAAUCUGAAGCAGGCUGUGUGUGAAUAGGUAAAUAGCAGCCGAGGUACGGCUGUGAUUGGCUUAGUUAGCAGUUCCACUACCUCCUCUACCUUUUACUUUGAUUGUUGCAGUCGAUGUAUGUGGUAAUUUACAGUGCAUGCAAGCAUAUUCGGUAAACUUUGCUCUAAUUGUCCUGUGCAUUACUGCAAAGACUAAUUACCAGUUUCCUGGAAGAGGAUGUGUUAUUUUGCUAGUAACCUUUAAAUCCUAUUUCAUAUUUAACCAGCACAUUAAGCAUUGCUGCCUUCCACGGUCAGCUGCACCUUUUUUCUUUUUUUUUUUUUCUUUUAUGUUUCAGUACAAUAAAUACAGAGGAAAUUACGUUAGACAAAAUGUCAGUAGGAAACACAAUUGUCUUGCACAUGACAUACAAAACUCAUGAAUUUCAUCAGACAGGCUGGAUACAUUUGUAAUAUUAUUUGUUAAAAGACUAACUUUUCUGUGCAAAUGGUCCAUUAUAACAGAUGUCAUUAAAGGGAUUUAUUGUCAUUGUAGUGAACUGAAAUCUGAAUGGCAAGAUUGAGGCUCAAAUAUAAAUAUAACGGAGUUGGAGAAUUUUUCAGAAUAAGCAUAAUUUGCUAAUUUCUUUAACUUUUUGGCUUUUAUAUUCUCAACAAUUUAGUUUGGUGAAAAACAAUAACCCCUGAAGGUUUGUUUACAGGUUGGAUAACCUAUUUACAUCAACCAAUCAUAUUGACACACUGUCUGUUAGAGCAGUCAUUCCCAGCUCACUUCUCAAGGGACACUAAUAGUCUGGCAUUAUCCAGUUCAGGUCCCUUCUACUGACAAAUCUGGACCGGUGGUAGCCUUGAAGACUUGGUUGUGAAUCAGUGUUAGAGGCAUGUUACAAAGCAGUCUAAAUUUAAAAAAAAUAAAAAAAAAUAAAUAAAUAACCUGAAGUCUAUCAAGUUCAACCGUGAAGCCCAUGUUGUUGAUCCAAAAGAAGGCAAAACAAAAACAAUUGUAGCCAUUCCCAGUUAUGCCACAAAAAAGAUUUUUAAAAAUCCUUCUUGACUCCAUAAUUGCAGUCGGAUUUCUCAUUGGAUCAACAACCUGUUUACAUACAUGUUAAUUAUAUCAUUAAAUGUUCUGUUUAUGCAAAAAAAAAAUAAUCAGACAUUAUUUAAAAAUAUUUUAGGAAGAGAAUUCCACAUCUUUAUUGUUAUUAUUGUAAAUAACUCUCUCCUUUGCUGUAAGCAAACACGCCUUUCUUCCAAUCUCAAUGGGUGACCUCUUGUUCGCUGUAUAUUACUGCUAAUGAACAGGUUUGCACAUAGCAAUUUGUACGGACCCCAGAGAACCAUGCUUAGCCACUGGCUGUACUAAUUAUGGCCUGCAACUGAACACACCACCUGGUAAAUGAGUAGCAGUAUUUAUUACUAAGUGGAUCUUUGUAUUACAAUUUAUUUUUAAAAAUAAAACAUAAGUUUGAAAGCAGUAGCUCUUUGGUGCAUGUGCAAUGUUAUGUUCAGACCUGACAAAUCGCUAUCCAUACAUUUUAUUUUUUUAUUUUUUUUUAGAUUUAAGGCAGGAGCUGGCUGUACAACAGAAGGAGAAGCCCAAACCCAUUAUAGGUGACAGCCCUGAUGCUGGUAGAAUUGACACCGCAGUCCAAGCCUCUAUGUCUGUACCAUCAACACCAGUGGGUCACAGAGGAAGCAUCUCUGGACUGAGUUCACCAAUGCUGUAUAGAACAAGUAAGACUCAUUGUUUUUCACUGGAAAUUUUACUGUGUAAAUUAUAAAAAAAGGGGGGCUUCUUGGAUUGGCACAAUCUUACUAGCUUGACACCCUAUCUUCUAAAGAGGCAUCUUUGUGUUGGUAAGCUCCUCAAACAGUUGUCAAAAAAUAGUCCCUCCCUUUGCUUUACUCCUGUUUAUUAUAUUAUAUCCUGUUUCUGUUUGCUGCAAAUGACGCCAGGAGGAAAAAUGGUUAUCAAUUCUCUUUUUCAUUCAUUCUUGUGGUGGUUUUGUCAUUGGCUUUACAUUGCACAGGGAGAAUUUUGUUAAUGAUUGUAGAUUUGAUGGAUGAAGGUUUAUUGGUGCUGAUUGGUGUUGACUGCCGCAAGGAUAAAUGAAAACGAAAUUGAAAGGAAACAAAUCUUUGUCCCUUAUUGGAUGAAUGCAUAAAGGAAUUUAUGCACCUUCCUGAUUUUUUUUAUUUUUUUAUUUUUUUUUAAUAGAUUUGAUUUUUUUUUUACUUUAAGCAAAAAAAUUAAUUGCUCAAUUAUAACAUAAACCUAGUAUAUCUAUAUAUUGAACACACAUUCGUUAUACUCCUGUUUGUUAUUGCAUCAGAGUGUAAUGCUGAUAACAAUCCGCAAAUGGUGGCAACAUUCCACUCUAUUGUUUUCACUAGGAAACCUAUCCUCUGAUAUCCGUACUGAUAUUAGCUGAUGGUUUCCUUAGGGUUCGGGUUACCAUAGUGUUAUGGAAGGGUUAAGGUUUAGUGUUGGGGUAAGUUAAGAGUUAAUACUGAGUUAGGGUUAAUGCUGUUUUGUAGUUUGGGAUAGUGUAAGGUUAGGGCAGGUAUAUGGUUAGAAUUACAAGUAUUAACAAAUGAUUAAAAGAUCCUGUUUAUUUUAUCAUACUAAAUAUACGUUUGUCACCUAUUUCUUGGAAUAUACAAACAAAUGAGAUUGUCAGGACAGCGCAUAUAUCAUUUGUGUGCUUUCAUUUUCUUUUUCUUUUUUUAUGUCUCACUGUACAGCAAAUCCAUUUUGUUAUUCUCUGCUUUUCUUUUUGCUGUAGGUUUUGAUGAUGGCUACAGUGGUACUCCCCUUACACCAUCUGCCCGGAUAUCGGCAUUGAAUAUAGUAGGCGACCUCCUUAAAAAAGUU